CUGGUUGAUCCUGCCAGUAGUCAUAUGCUUGUCUCAAAGAUUAAGCCAUGCAUGUCUAAGUUCAAGCGAAAAUAAAGUGAAACCGCGAAUGGCUCAUUACAUCAGUUAUGGUUCCUUAGAUCGCACUUACUACUUGGAUAACUGUGGUAAUUCUAGAGCUAAUACAUGCACUGAGCUCCAACCCUCGUGGAAGGAGCGCUUUUAUUAGAUCAAAGCCAAUCGGGCCUUCGGGUCCGUACCGUUGGUGACUCUGAAUAACUUUGCUGAUCGCAUGGUCUCGUACCGGCGACGUAUCUUUCAAGUGUCUGCCUUAUCAACUGUCGAUGGUAGGUUAUGCGCCUACCAUGGUUGUAACGGGUAACGGGGAAUCAGGGUUCGAUUCCGGAGAGGGAGCCUGAGAAACGGCUACCACAUCCAAGGAAGGCAGCAGGCGCGCAAAUUACCCACUCCCGGCACGGGGAGGUAGUGACGAAAAAUAACGAUACGGAACUCACAUGAGGCUCCGUAAUCGGAAUGAGUACACUUUAAAUCCUUUAACGAGGAUCUAUUGGAGGGCAAGUCUGGUGCCAGCAGCCGCGGUAAUUCCAGCUCCAAUAGCGUAUAUUAAAGUUGUUGCGGUUAAAAAGCUCGUAGUUGGAUCUCGGUUUCGGGCGGGUGGUGCGCCUUGCGGUGUUUACUGUCUGCCCGGACGAUUUUGUUGGUUCGUUCGUGGUUCUCUUAACCGAGUGCCACGGGUGGCCAGCACGUUUACUUUGAAAAAAUUGGAGUGCUCAAAGCAGGCGCUACAGCCUGAACAUUAGUGCAUGGAAUAAUGGAAUAGGACCUCGGUUCUAUUUCGUUGGCUUUCGGAGUCGAGGUAAUGAUUAAUAGGAACAGACGGGGGCAUUCGUACUGCGACGUUAGAGGUGAAAUUCUUGGAUCGUCGCAAGACGAACUACUGCGAAAGCAUUUGCCAAGAAUGUUUUCAUUAAUCAAGAACGAAAGUUAGAGGUUCGAAGGCGAUCAGAUACCGCCCUAGUUCUAACCAUAAACGAUGCCGACCGGCGAUCCGCCGUCGUUAAUUGAAUGACUCGGCGGGCAGCCUCCGGGAAACCAGAGUGUUUGGGUUCCGGGGGAAGUAUGGUUGCAAAGCUGAAACUUAAAGGAAUUGACGGAAGGGCACCACCAGGAGUGGAGCCUGCGGCUUAAUUUGACUCAACACGGGAAAUCUCACCAGGCCCGGACACCGGAAGGAUUGACAGAUUGAGAGCUCUUUCUUGAUUCGGUGGGUGGUGGUGCAUGGCCGUUCUUAGUUGGUGGAGCGAUUUGUCUGGUUAAUUCCGAUAACGAACGAGACUCUGGCCUACUAACUAGACGUAGGAUCCCUUUGUGGGUCCGUCACUGCUUCUUAGAGGGACGGGCGGCUUUUAGCCGCACGAGAAUGAGCAAUAACAGGUCUGUGAUGCCCUUAGAUGUUCUGGGCUGCACGCGCGCUACACUGAAGGAAUCAGCGUGUGUUCCCUACCCGAAAGGGUUGGGAAACCCGUUGAACCUCCUUCGUGAUGGGGAUUGGGGAUUGCAAUUAUUCCCCAUGAACGAGGAAUUCCCAGUAGGCGCGAGUCAUAAGCUUGCGUCGAUUACGUCCCUGCCCUUUGUACACACCGCCCGUCGCUACUACCGAUCGAGUGAUUUAGUGAGGACUUCGGACUGGUCUUCGUGGUGGCUCUCGAGUCAUGACGGAGUUCCGGAAAGAUGCCCAAACUUGAUCACUUAGAGGAAGUAAAAGUCGUAACAAGGUUUCCGUAGGUGACCUGCA
rnacentral:rRNA from 1 species